rnacentral:rRNA from 1 species
GUGCCAGCCGCCGCGGUAAUACGGAGGGUGCAAGCGUUAAUCGGAAUUACUGGGCGUAAAGCGCGCGUAGGUGGCUUGAUAAGCCGGUUGUGAAAGCCCCGGGCUCAACCUGGGAACGGCAUCCGGAACUGUCAGGCUAGAGUGCAGGAGAGGAAGGUAGAAUUCCCGGUGUAGCGGUGAAAUGCGUAGAGAUCGGGAGGAAUACCAGUGGCGAAGGCGGCCUUCUGGACUGACACUGACACUGAGGUGCGAAAGCGUGGGUAGCAAACAGGAUUAGAUACCCCGGUAGUCC